ensembl:lncRNA
CAAUCAUUCCCAUUCCCCAGGUGUGCACAAUCAUUCCAUUACUCCUUUAUGCUUCGGUACCAUUAAACCAAGGCAUAAACGAGUAACUCUUGGAGUCGAGAUGCUUUUAUGUCCAAAGUGAAAUUCUCAAGAGUUUGUGAGGCUCAUCCACCCUCGGGCCAGCUCAGGGAAGGAACCAGCAGGAACCCAAAGCCUCUGCCUUUUCCAGUCUCCAGGCCCCUGCUGCCACCACUGCCCCAGUCAAGGCCCUCAGCAUGCCCCAACUCAGAGGUGCACCCUCAUUCAUGCUACCCUUCCGAGACCUGCUUCCCCACCCCAGACUGGCUGAAGACCCCAUGGACUCCCGCCCAGCCAAGGGAGAGAGCUGAGAACACUCGACAAAGGGGCUUCAGUGAUGUCAUCUUUGACAGGUGGGAAACUGAUCAGAAACGCCAAAACAUUUGCCCAAACUGCUGACAGUAAGAGGUAACAGUUGGACCGGAGCCAUGCCUCUAAGACUACCAUUAAGGCACUGUCAGGCAGGUCUGUAUGAGGCCCGGUGCCCAAGGCACCCAAGAACUGCAGAGAAUCCUUUGAAAAUGUUUGAGACCCAGAUGCAUAAACACUUGGGCUCUAGAAUGCAAAAGGGGAACGCCAAGUCCAAAUGAACCCAUGUUUUAUUAUGUUUAAGAACAGGAUGUCAACUUUAUUGUGGUUAAAAUCCAUCCAUCUGGAAAGAGGCUUGGGUUGGGAAUGCUCUCCCUGAGAAGACCCCAAGCAGAUCGCCGGCAGUUGUCUACUUUAGAGAGCUGCCUGUGGCCAAUAGAUUUCCAAAGCAAAAUGAUAAAUUACAAGAAUAAUUAACCCGAUGCGCAUUUAGCACGUGGAGAGUCUGCUUCGAGUUGGGAGUGUUUUAACUCCUUUAAUCCCAACAUCGCCUCUACUGGGUGCGGCUGUUUUGAUACAGGUCCAUGCGAUGGGGAAACUGAGGCACAGGGAAGUCAAAGAGCUGAGGAGGGACACAGCUGGGGUUUGAACCUCACCAGACCCCCUCAUGUGGUCGGCACUCUUGACCCCUGUGCUGUCUUCAGCCUUGUGUUUCACGGCAGAGUCUUCAGUGGAAUUGGAGAUGCGGAUACCAUGGUGACCGUUUGAUUUUGAAAGGGUAUGGAUGUCGGGCACGGCGCAGUUUGGGGUUCCAGAUCUGGACGAUGGUGGGAAGCUAGGUCAGGACUCCUCUAUGUCCCCUCCAAUCCCCGUUCUCCUCCCCGGACUGCAAGCCACCCAAGGCAGGUCGCCUCCCGCCCUGGACCUGGCUGCCAGACAGGAUGCAGCCCCGCCCCUGACCACGCCCUGGUGGCCGGCUCUGAUUGGAUCCGGGUGGGUGUAACCCCUAGAGCAGUACUUCAUACAACAGCUGGUAGCGAAUUAGAGGACGUACUUCGAAAGAUCGGCCUGCAAGGCUCUUCUUGCGCGGUGAUUGGCUCCCAAUCUUCCCUUCUCCUCUAGCAUCUGCCUCCAAACUGUGUCUCAGCAGCAAGUUGUUUAGAAGCUAAGGCUGGGGCUCAGAAAACAUUGUCUCCCCGUUGCCCAGUAGCAUACAGAGGGAGCUCAAGCAAUCGAUAUAUGUUGGACUUCCCUGGUGGACCAGUGGUUAAGAAUCCGCUUGCCAAUGCAGGGGACACGGGUUUGAUCCCUGGUCUGGGAAGAUUCCACAUGCCAGCAGAGCAACCAAGCCCAGUGCACCUCAACUACUGAAGCCUGAGGGAUCUCGAGCCCGCGUUUCUGCAGCUACUGAAGCCUGUGGUGCCCUAGAAUCUGUGCUCCUCAACAAGACAAGCCAAAGCAAUGACAAGCUGGCUAGACUAGAGACUAGAGAGUAGCUCCAUUUUCACAGCUAAAGAAAGGCUGCGUGCAGCAACAAAGAUCCCGUGCAGCUGAAGAUAAGUAAAAUUUAAAAAGAAAUAAAUAUCGACUGGUAUAAUUAAUGAAUUAAUCUGGUAGCAGAGAUUUGGGAGCUCUCCACCCUUGUGAAACAGAAACAGGCCCUGUGGGGCCUUCCCAGUGACAGACAUCUGUGUUCCCCACUUCUUGCUUGUAGAAAAAGCUUUUAGCCUCUUAGGCCUUAUCUGAGAGCAGACUCAGCAAUUGAUGAUUGGAGAAGUGGGAAAUCAGGGACAAAAAUGAAGCAGUCAAGCGGGAAAGUAAUAGCAAAUUAAAUAAUAGGUCCACCAGAAAAAAGAGUCACAAAACCCCUAGCUUCUCCUUGAGGUUACCCCUCUAUGGAGAGCCUUCUGACACAUAUUCUUAUGCUGUUUUGGCAGAAACCAGGACCCUACCAGAUGGAAACUGCUGACCUCAAACAUAUAGAGCCUAAACUGGUUGGAGGCAGAAGAUUGAUCACUCUGUUAACUCACCACCAACCAAUCAGAAAAAUGUCCAUGACAUGGUCAUACACCCUGUGACCCUCACCCCUAAUGCUGCUUUGAAAAACCCUUUCCUGGAAGCCAUCAGAGGUCGGACAUCUUUGGCACUUUGGCUACCUUCUCUUCUUGCUUGGCACUGUUCAAAGCUCCUUGCAACCAGGCUGAGGUGAGGUUGGCACAGAGGAUUUGGCUGAGGGUGUUUGCUGAAUUAAUG